rnacentral:sRNA from 7 species
GCGGCGCGGCCUUCGGGCCGGCCUGCGUUUGGCUUGAACCCCGCGAACCCCCGCGGGGUUUUUUUAUGGCCCGC